UUGAGUAAAGCUAGGUUUGCCAAAACCGAGAGCCGAACCCGGCCUUUAGGGAGAAAAAGAAAAAAGAAAAAAAGAAUCCCUUCUCUUCUUUCACUUUCCUUCUCUUCCUUCCAUUGAUAUUUUUCUCCAAAGAGAAAAAAUGGCGGCAGCUUCUAGAAAAUCAAGAACUGCACUAAUCGGAUCCCUAUCUUCUUCUUCUUCUAGAUUCUGCAACUCUCACUCUCAAUCGUCUUCUUCCUCAGCUUUCGCCUCUUCCACAUCCAGUUUCUCUCGCUCCACCACCUUCUUUCACCGCGCCUCCUCUCCGACGCGUGUCAACCUCUCCGCUCCCUCCGUCCGCUUCUCCCUCGAACGUUCCGUCUCCCCGAACCGCUCCAUCGCGGUGGCGCCGGGAACCGCCGCGUCCAGACAGGGCAAGCCGCACCAGCAGAAGCGCACCUGCAUGUGCUCGCCUACGACGCACCCUGGCUCCUUCCGCUGCAGCCUCCACAAGAAGAGCAACCACGCCGCCGCCGCGGCGCCGUACUCGCCGAACCGUCUGAACGCGCGCAGAUCUGCGAUGACGAACUCGCUCGUGAGAAUUCGCGGCGUGGAGGGGGAUCUCGUGAAGCGAGCGCUCGCAGCGUUGAUUCGACCUUCCUCGCACCAGCAGAGAAGGCGUGGCGACUUUCACCCGAGGCCUAGCAGGCUCUCCGUUAUGUCCAAGGCGGAGGACCUGUGAAUUGAACCGCGCUUUGGUUACUUUCUUCGUUUCUGACCACCGCCGACGGUGGCUACAGCGGCGGCGCCGGAUCCGCCGAACUGGCUUGAGAUCUAACGGAUGCGCGGACGAUUACGAAAUUCAAGUGAAAAUUGAUUAUGUGCUUCGUCUGUGUGUGUGCCUGUGUAUAUAAUAUAGAACUAAUAUUAAUCAGUUGCAGCCAUUGAUGGCCAUUCUUGGAGCUUCUGGACCUAAUUUUAAAGAAAAACAAUUUUGAUUAGAGUUUUAAAAUAAACAACUAAUCCUCACUUAAAAUACAAAACAAAAGCCAGUCAAAAUUUUGGUUCAUGUAACAAAUCAUUCCUCUUCGUAGUUCACUGCAACUUGUCUGUUUUUUUUUCUCUCUUUUUUCGUUUUUAGCCUCCUCAUGGUGACCUAACGUUUGUCAUAAGCUUUUCCGUGGCAUCUGUUCGUGGUGUAUGCCUUGUAUUUGGUGUGUGUAUUUUGUAUUUGUCCGUAUUUUUAACUGUUAUAUUGUUUUGUAUGUGUUGGCUUGGUGAGAUACGUAAUCCAUACAUAUUGUUGUGAUGCUUGGUGGUUUGAUAUUAAAUAAUUGAUUAUAGUGUUUGUUUUUGCAGGGAAUCUGUUUUUGGUGGCGAGUGGGGGAGGCAAGACGAAAGGGCGAAGGGGAUUGGGUCCAGGAACAGGAUAAAGUUGUAGUGAGAGUAGAGUGUAAAACACAUAAUGUUUAUGAUGAAGAUAAGCAUGUAAUGAUUCAGCAUUAUUGCUGAUGGAGUCACUGGUUAAUGGUUAUGAAGAUAGAGACUGGGAAGCUGUAUCCCAUUGUAUGAGAGAGUGGAUGAAAUCAUGAAUGGCAGUAGCGUGAAUAUAUUUGUGGAA